rnacentral:misc_RNA from 1 species
AAGAUUUGCUCCUAAGAAUUUUGAGGGUAUUCUCAGAAGAUACAUCAAUGAGUAUGUGAUAUGCAAUGGCUGCAAGAGUCCUGAUACUAUACUUUCCAAGGAGAACCGUCUGUUUUUCCUUCGCUGUGAGCAGUGUGGUUCUUCACGGUCAGUGGCACCAAUUAAAGCUGGCUUCGUUGCUCGAGUGGGGCGGCGCAAGGCUGGGGCAUAAGCCUAUUCUCGGGUUUGAGUUUGAGUGGGUCUGUUAUUCCAUUGGAAUCACAGCUAGUGCUUUGUUUCAUCCGACUCAUUUCUGCAUUUCUAGUUUUGUUACAGUUUUGCUUUGAAGUGUUCUUUGCAAUAUGGCUAAACUAUGUAUUUGCAUUUUCAUCCCAAU